rnacentral:rRNA from 1 species
UGCCAGCAGCCGCGGUAAUACGGAGGGGGUUAGCGUUGUUCGGAAUUACUGGGCGUAAAGCGCACGUAGGCGGAUUGGAAAGUUGGGGGUGAAAUCCCGGGGCUCAACCCCGGAACUGCAUUUAAAACUAGUGAUCUAGAAUUUGGUAGGGGUUAGUAGAAUUUCCAGUGUAGAGGUGAAAUUCGUAGAUAUUGGAAAGAAUACCAGUGGCGAAGGCGACUAACUGGGCCAUUUUUGACGCUGAGAUACGAAAGCGUGGGUAGCAAACAGGAUUAGAUA